UACGGGGGGGGCAAGCGUUGUUCGGAAUUACUGGGCGUAAAGGGCUCGUAGGUGGCCAACUAAGUCAGACGUGAAAUCCCUCGGCUCAACCGGGGAACUGCAUCUGAUACUGGAUGGCUUGAGAUUGGGAGAGGGAUGCGGAAUUCCAGGUGUAGCGGUGAAAUGCGUAGAUAUCGGAAGGAACACCAGUGGCGAAGGCGGUUACCUGGAGCUUUGCUGACGCUGAUGCGCGAAAGCGUGGGGAGCGAGUCCGG
rnacentral:rRNA from 1 species